CGGUAUGAUGAGCAACGGGUCUACUGACCCUGACCUGACGAGGUCAGGAAUGAUGAUCCGUUGGAGCACUGACC
rnacentral:snoRNA from 1 species